rnacentral:rRNA from 1 species
GAUGAACGCUGGCGGCGUGCCUAAUACAUGCAAGUCGAACGCACAGCGAAAGGUGCUUGCACCUUUCAAGUGAGUGGCGAACGGGUGAGUAACACGUGGACAACCUGCCUCAAGGCUGGGGAUAACAUUUGGAAACAGAUGCUAAUACCGAAUGAAACUUAGUGUCGCAUGAUACGAAGUUAAAAGGCGCUUUGGCGUCACCUAGAGAUGGAUCCGCGGUGCAUUAGUUAGUUGGUGGGGUAAAGGCCUACCAAGACAAUGAUGCAUAGCCGAGUUGAGAGACUGAUCGGCCACAUUGGGACUGAGACACGGCCCAAACUCCUACGGGAGGCUGCAGUAGGGAAUCUUCCACAAUGGGCGAAAGCCUGAUGGAGCAACGCCGCGUGUGUGAUGAAGGCUUUCGGGUCGUAAAGCACUGUUGUAUGGGAAGAACAGCUAGAAUAGGGAAUGAUUUUAGUUUGUACGGUACCAUACCAGAAAGGGACGGUA